rnacentral:rRNA from 1 species
UACAGAGGGUGCGAGCGUUGUCCGGAAUCACUGGGCGUAAAGGGCGCGUAGGUGGCGAGAUAAGCGUGUGGUGAAAGCCCGGGGCUCAACCCCGUGUCUGCCAUGCGGACUGUCUUGCUCGAGCGUAGUAGAGGCAGGUGGAAUUCCGGGUGUAGCGGUGGAAUGCGUAGAGAUCCGGAAGAACACCAGUGGCGAAGGCGGCCCGCUGGGCAGUGGCUGACGCUGAGGCGCGACAGCGUGGGGAGCAAACAGG